UGGUGCGUAGCUCAACUGGAAGAGCAGCGGAUUCCAAACCCGCCGGUUGCAGGUUCGAGUCCUGCCGCAUCAG
rnacentral:tRNA from 1 species